GAGCACUGUUUCGGCAAGGGGGUCAUCCCGACUUACCAACCCGAUGCAAACUGCGAAUACCGGAGAAUGUUAUCACGGGAGACACACGGCGGGUGCUAACGUCCGUCGUGAAGAGGGAAACAACCCAGACCGCCAGCUAAGGUCCCAAAGUCAUGGUUAAGUGGGAAACGAUGUGGGAAGGCCCAGACAGCCAGGAUGUUGGCUUAGAAGCAGCCAUCAUUUAAAGAAAGCGUAAUAGCUCACUGGUCGAGUCGGCCUGCGCGGAAGAUGUAACGGGGCUAAACCAUGCACCGAAGCUGCGGCAGCGACACUAUGUGUUGUUGGGUAGGGGAGCGUUCUGUAAGCCUGUGAAGGUGUGCUGUGAGGCACGCUGGAGGUAUCAGAAGUGCGAAUGCUGACAUAAGUAACGAUAAAGCGGGUGAAAAGCCCGCUCGCCGGAAGACCAAGGGUUCCUGUCCAACGUUAAUCGGGGCAGGGUGAGUCGACCCCUAAGGCGAGGCCGAAAGGCGUAGUCGAUGGGAAACAGGUUAAUAUUCCUGUACUUGGUGUUACUGCGAAGGGGGGACGGAGAAGGCUAUGUUGGCCGGGCGACGGUUGUCCCGGUUUAAGCGUGUAGGCUGGUUUUCCAGGCAAAUCCGGAAAAUCAAGGCUGAGGCGUGAUGACGAGGCACUACGGUGCUGAAGCAACAAAUGCCCUGCUUCCAGGAAAAGCCUCUAAGCAUCAGGUAACAUCAAAUCGUACCCCAAACCGACACAGGUGGUCAGGUAGAGAAUACCAAGGCGCUUGAGAGAACUCGGGUGAAGGAACUAGGCAAAAUGGUGCCGUAACUUCGGGAGAAGGCACGCUGAUAUGUAGGUGAAGUCCCUCGCGGAUGGAGCUGAAAUCAGUCGAAGAUACCAGCUGGCUGCAACUGUUUAUUAAAAACACAGCACUGUGCAAACACGAAAGUGGACGUAUACGGUGUGACGCCUGCCCGGUGCCGGAAGGUUAAUUGAUGGGGUCAGCGCAAGCGAAGCUCUUGAUCGAAGCCCCGGUAAACGGCGGCCGUAACUAUAACGGUCCUAAGGUAGCGAAAUUCCUUGUCGGGUAAGUUCCGACCUGCACGAAUGGCGUAAUGAUGGCCAGGCUGUCUCCACCCGAGACUCAGUGAAAUUGAACUCGCUGUGAAGAUGCAGUGUACCCGCGGCAAGACGGAAAGACCCCGUGAACCUUUACUAUAGCUUGACACUGAACAUUGAGCCUUGAUGUGUAGGAUAGGUGGGAGGCUUUGAAGUGUGGACGCCAGUCUGCAUGGAGCCGACCUUGAAAUACCACCCUUUAAUGUUUGAUGUUCUAACGUGGACCCGUAAUCCGGGUUGCGGACAGUGUCUGGUGGGUAGUUUGACUGGGGCGGUCUCCUCCUAAAGAGUAACGGAGGAGCACGAAGGUUGGCUAAUCCUGGUCGGACAUCAGGAGGUUAGUGCAAUGGCAUAAGCCAGCUUGACUGCGAGCGUGACGGCGCGAGCAGGUGCGAAAGCAGGUCAUAGUGAUCCGGUGGUUCUGAAUGGAAGGGCCAUCGCUCAACGGAUAAAAGGUACUCCGGGGAUAACAGGCUGAUACCGCCCAAGAGUUCAUAUCGACGGCGGUGUUUGGCACCUCGAUGUCGGCUCAUCACAUCCUGGGGCUGAAGUAGGUCCCAAGGGUAUGGCUGUUCGCCAUUUAAAGUGGUACGCGAGCUGGGUUUAGAACGUCGUGAGACAGUUCGGUCCCUAUCUGCCGUGGGCGCUGGAGAACUGAGGGGGGCUGCUCCUAGUACGAGAGGACCGGAGUGGACGCAUCACUGGUGUUCGGGUUGUCAUGCCAAUGGCACUGCCCGGUAGCUAAAUGCGGAAGAGAUAAGUGCUGAAAGCAUCUAAGCACGAAACUUGCCCCGAGAUGAGUUCUCCCUGACCCUUUAAGGGUCCUGAAGGAACGUUGAAGACGACGACGUUGAUAGGCCGGGUGUGUAAGCGCAGCGAUGCGUUGAGCUAACCGGUACUAAUGAACCGUGAGGCUUAACCUUACAA
rnacentral:rRNA from 2 species